GUGAACGCUGGCGGUAGGCCUAACACCUGCAAGUCGAACGGCAGCACAGUAAGCGCUUGCUCUUACGGGUGGCGAGUGGCGGACGGGUGAGGAAUACAUCGGAAUCUACUUUUUCGUGGGGGAUAACGUAGGGAAACUUACGCUGAUACCGCAUACGACCUACGGGUGAAAGCAGGGGAUCUUCGGACCUUGCGCGAUUGAAUGAGCCGAUGUCGGAUUAGCUAGUUGGCGGGGUAAAGGCCCACCAAGGCGACGAUCCGUAGCUGGUCUGAGAGGAUGAUCAGCCACACUGGAACUGAGACACGGUCCAGACUCCUACGGGAGGCAGCAGUGGGGAAUAUUGGACAAUGGGCGCAAGCCUGAUCCAGCCAUACCGCGUGGGUGAAGAAGGCCUUCGGGUUGUAAAGCCCUUUUGUUGGGAAAGAAAAGCAGCAGGUUAAUACCCCGCUGUUCUGACGGUACCCAAAGAAUAAGCACCGGCUAACUUCGUG
rnacentral:rRNA from 1 species